AUAGGUUAUAAAAUUUGAUUUGAUUUGAUGGUAAGUACAUGAGAGAAAUAUAAUUAUUAUAAUAGAAAUUAAAUUACCAAUGGCACACUAGCUCCUUAUUUGCCUGUGUAUUGUGUUUACUUAUGGACAUUAGCAAGUAAAGUACUCUGAAUCUGUUGGUUAACUUGUUGGUGUUCAGAUUUACUGAUUUGUUGGUGUUCAGAAUGUAGCUUGAAGCGUUUUGCUUAAAUCUACAUUUUGACAUUAAAUGUUGUAUUCCUACUCCUUUAGCUAUUUCAUUAUGGAACAUCUGAUCUGUAAAUUCCUAAGAUGUUUUAUAGUUUAUGAAUGCAUCUGAAAAUAGGUUUUUCCUGCUGCAGUUCUCCUUUAGCUAUUUCAUUAUGGAACUGCAGUUGUUAUUUUCUAAAUUGCAUUGGGUAUUGAAAGAUCUGCACAUUAUUUCAAAAACUUUAUUGAGACGACUGGUUCUACAUAUGUUGAUUCUGUGAUAUGUCAUUUCUGGUUGUU
rnacentral:lncRNA from 13 species